GAACUGCGAUACGUAAUGUGAAUUGCAGAACUCCGUGAAUCAUCAAAUUUUUGAACGCAAGUUGCCCUUCCGGGGUCGCUCCUGGGAGGAUGCCUGUUUGAGUGUUAUCAACCUUUAUCACCUCCAAAAAACAAAUUCUGAGCCGAAAUGCUUGUUUUUGACCUUUUUGCUUUGACGGUGGAGAUUGAGAGUCCGUCGAUAAGACCGUCUCUUUAAAACUAAACGCUUUGGAAGAAGAGAGCAUACUCACUCCUUUUUGAGCCGCUGAUUGGUAGUUCCGGAGACGGAAUAAUAUCUCUCGGAUGGUCUCAGCCUGGGGCAGUGUGUUACCGAUUUUCCGGGGUAUUUGCAUUAAUUUGAAAUCUCGUAUUUCAUUUUUGAAUAUAACCUCAAAUCAGGU
rnacentral:misc_RNA from 1 species